CCCGCUGAACUUAAGCAUAUCAAUAAGCGGAGGAAAAGAAACCAACAGGGAUUGCCUUAGUAACGGCGAGUGAAGCGGCAAAAGCUCAAAUUUGAAAUCUGGCUUCCUUUUUGGGGCCCGAGUUGUAAUUUGCAGAGGAUGCUUUGGGUGUGGUUGUGGUCUAAGUCCCCUGGAACGGGGCAUCAUAGAGGGUGAGAAUCCCGUCUGGGAUCGCUGGCCACGCCCGUGUAAAGCUCCUUCGACAAGUCGAGUUGUUUGGGAAUGCAGCUCUAAAUGGGUGGUAAAUUUCAUCUAAAGCUAAAUAUUGGCCAGAGACCGAUAGCGCACAAGUAGAGCGAUCGAAAGAUGAAAAGCACUUUGAAAAGAGAGUUAAACAGCAUGUGAAAUUGUUGAAAGGGAAGCGCUUGCGACCAGACUCGCCCGCGGAGGCUCAGCCGGCAUACUUUGGCGGUGCACUCCUUCGCGGUCAAGCCAGCGUCGGUUCUGACGGUUGGUUAAAGACUCUCGGAAUGUGUCGCCCUUUGGGGCGUCUUAUAGCCGAGGGUGUAAUGCGGCCUGUCGGGACCGAGGAACGCGCCUUUGGCACGGACGCUGGCGUAAUGGUUGUAAGCGACCCGUCUUGAAACACGG
rnacentral:rRNA from 1 species